GACGCCCUGUGCAGGGCAGGACAGCCCUCCCACUGUCCAUUCGCCGGGGCUCCCAGGCAGGCAGCCCAGCUCGCCCCCUGCCUUUCCCCUGGCCCACUGGAGUGAGGGGCCACAGGAGCCUCCAGCCCUGCUCCCAUACUCGUGUGGGCCCCUCUUCCAGGAAGUCCUGCCAGCACCACAUCCUCCGCCUUGGGUGUGCACACCACAGAGCCCUGGGCUGCACUCCAGUGGGCCACCUCUAAUUGCUUCAUGAACCCCCCUCCUCAGAAACACGCAACAUGUGACCCCACCCCUCUGCCUCCCGAGGGCCAGACUCCACGUCCCUCCUGGAGAAGCUGAGCGCUGGCCCAGCUGGGCUCGUGGGGACUGCAGGUGGCCCUGUGCUUGGAGCCGGGUGAGCCUACCUUGAGCACGUGGUACCAGGCAGAGGCGCCUCCCGAGUCGAUGUGGAAGUCGGUGUAGCUGUCCUUCACGCAGAUGAGACAGUACUUGGUCACCUUGGGCUUGGCCAGCAGCGCGUCAUCGGGCCAGCAGUUCUCUACCCACGACAGCUUCUUAACAAUGUCAGGCGGCUCCACGAAACUGGACAUCCUGGGGCAGAUACAGGAGGAGGGGCACCAGUGACGGGACGUCCGCCAGGCCACCUGGCAUGAAGAGGCUCCGGGGCCAUGUCCCUCACCUACUUCUCCAUCCCGGGCUACGUGGCAUCACUCUUGCUCUACAGACAAGCAAUCUAAGGUUCCCGGGGGCAGAGGGAGCCCAGCUGCCGGGUGUGGCCAUGGCAGGAUCUAACACAGGUCUCCCACGGGAAACCAGAGACCGCCACUCCCUGGGGAGCUGGAGGUGACUGUCUGGGCACGGGGGCGGGGGGCAGGGGGCAGACGGCACGUCUCGCACACAGUCCAGGCGCUCCCAGGCAUCCCUCGCACGGAGAAAAGCGGCUGCUCUCCAGAACGGGCCAACGGGCUGGGUAUCACUGUCCAGCCAGCGACUCCUUUCCAAAGAGAACAAGGGAAGGCAAAGGUGCCCUUUGCGAUGAGAUGCCGCCAUCCCGAUGGAAACACACAGUGCCGCAUCACCACUGCACAGCCCGCAGUCCCUGGCAAUGAGAGCCCGGUGCCCUCGCUGCCCCAGGCAGGACCGAACUGCACAGCCCCACACUGAAGGCCAUGCCUGCAGGACAAGACGGUCCUGAACUGCGGGCCUGGUCCAGCAACCCCGACCUCAACAGCCUCAUCAGCAGACCCUCUUCCUUUAACUCUCCACCAUGUCCCCGGGGUAACAUCCCCCUCCCCGCUCCCCAGGGUCCUUCUUAACUAGUCCAGGCCCCUGGUGCCCUGGGGCCCUCUUGGUCCUCUGAACACCACCCAUCAGGGCUUUCCAAAACCGCCACGAAUGUCCUCUCCCUGCUUGAUGGCUCCUCGGGUACAAAGCUAGCCCAUUCUCCUGCCGCCAAGGCUAGUGGCUCCCUGCAGUCUCCCAGGGCCGAGGGGUGGUAUCCCAAGGCCCCCAGACACCCAAGGCCACCGUGGGUGCUGUGCAGAGGUAACCAUGCAUGUUUGCAUCACUGACAGUAGGCACAUCACUCUCCAUCUGUCACAGCAGUUGCUUCUGGGGUUAGGGGACAUGGGAGUCACUGUAGGACCCCCGAGGCCGCAGACCCGGAGACCGCCACAGAUAAUCCGUGCGGUCGGGCCCAGCCCUUGCAGCCCCAGCUGACAUCCCCAGGCACAGACCGCACUGAUUAACUGGAGGCCACCCUCUCCCUCUCUGGUGGUGUAGACCAGAGUCCCAGCUGCUCAACAGCCCGGUGGGAAGUGUGUGUGACCUCCGUGGUCCUCUGGUCAGGUCUGAGGACCCUCGAGGCACCACACAUUCUCUGCCAGCGAAGGGGUGGCCCCGAGAGGCCCCAGGAAAAACCCUAAGCCAAAGCAUCCAGUCCCCUGGCUCUGCACCCGGCAGCUCUCUAUGAAGACCCAGGCUGCUCAUAGCCCAAGCUAACAGUGAUGUUCCCGAGCGUGCUCUCUGGGAGCAAAGCAACACGCCCACCACAACUCAGCCUGAGAGGAAAUCCUUGCUGUGAACUCUCAGGCAGUGGCUUUGUCCUGAUACCAUAAGCCAUCCUAUUUCCCUUUAUGCCUUUGCUGUCAGGAAGCUCACACAGAACCCAGCAGCCGGCUGCAACAUCCUGCCGGGGCUCGAGGCACAGGUCUGUACUCUCCGUCUCCAUGAGGCUCCAGAAACUCUCCUACCUGACUUCUGCACGUGAUCUAUCUGGCUAUGCCCUGAGUUUUCCAGAAGUCGGCAAGACAGGAAGGACCCAAAAGUGAAAUCACACGUAAACGAAACCACUGUCACCAAGUCGGGCCCUGCGGUGAACAAAGGGCCCAGCUGGAGAGCAGUCGGGAUUUGGCCGAGGGGCAGGAAAGGGGGGGCCACGCCACGCCGGUCUGCCUCCAUGACGCAAAAACCUGGACCUCAGUGGGCCCCAGUCAGCCACGGAGCCUCACGCCGGACCCUAAACCCUGGGAAGAGCCGUGAACUGGGCGGGCCCAGCCGGUGGAACUCGGGCUGAGAUGGCAGGAGGGGCCGGGGCACAGCACGACCCCGCAGGGCUGCAGUGCCUAAGAAGAGACCCUGCCGCAGGCGGCCCGGGGGCUGGCGGGCGCUCACCUGGUGUCGGAGAACUCGAGGCUGGUGAGG